rnacentral:lncRNA from 1 species
GGCAUCUUCCCCCUGGUUGUAAUUUAUAACUGUCAAAUCAAAUCUAUGUAGCUAUCUAUCUAACUCAAAUGUCUGUUGAGGACUCUUUGAUAAUCACAUUUGAGGCACAUGUCAGCAGGUGGCAGUGUCUUCAAAUGCAGUAGUUGAUGAUCUGUGCAACAGUUGAGCAACUUGAAGUUGUACAUUUUUGGGGGGCUAGCAAGCUUGCCUGCCUAUUUCUACAAUUAAUCUUCUUAUAAUCGCAUUUUAAACCUAACCACACUGCUAAUCUAAUGGCCCAACCUUAAAUUAAGACCAAAAAGCGUAUUUUUGUUUUCAUACAUUUUUACGAUAUAGCCCAUUUGUACUUUGUGGCUGUGUUAUCUAGUGGGAAUCUCUAGCUGGCUAGUUAUCUACCCUCUGGCGUUCCGCAAUAUUGGAGAAAAAGUUGAUUGAUAAUCCAAGUACUAGUUUGAAAAAUAUGCACUGGGCAUCAAAAUGAUCUCCCGAAUAGUUUUAAAAGAUGUGGUUCAGAGGUUCAAGAGUUUUACUCCUGAGUUACGGCUGGGAUUGUUUCUGUCAUAGCAUAAUUUGUUUACUGUCACUAACGUUACAUAUUUCGGUUUAUCAGAGGAUGUCUUCAGUCUUGGAACGACAGUUUUUGGCAAUGGUCAUGUGCACAAGCUCAAUAAGGUUCCGGAGUGGCGCAGCGGUCUGAGGCACUGCAUCUUAGUGCAAAAGAGGCGUCACUACAGACCCUGUUUCGAAUCCAGGUUGUAUCACAUCCGGCUGUGAUUCGGAGUCCCAUAGGGCAGUGCACAAUUGGGCCUGCAUCGCCAGGAAAAAUCUUGCAUCACUGCUUCACACAUUCUCCUUAACUUGCACUGGUGAAACAGACGGAAAGGGCUGGCUCUCACUUCUGGACAUGUCCGAUGCCAGGGCAUCAGUGCUGGACAAGAAGAUGCCUUUCAGGCGGCUGAGGAACAUUGAUGUCCUGUAUGUCCCUGCAUCAAUAGAGGCGAGAAGGAAGACAGUCCACCCACCAAUCAUUCCAACCCCAGGCUCCUACCCAGUCCAAGCCUACGCUCCAGUGUCUUCUACCUCCAACCUACAGGCUACCGAGACCACACCAAAGACAUUUGAAGGCUGGGCCCACUCCUACUAUACACAGGGGAGCCCUGUUCAGGUCUCAGGUUAUUACGGACACAACCAUGGAUAUGGCCUCAAGCUUUGGGCCAAGUUACGGACAUGGUCACAAACAUGGACACAGCUGCAGCCACAGCCAAGGUCAUGGACAUAGUCACGAACACAGCUUUGGCCAUGGACUCAGUCAUGGACAUGCAUCUGCCUCUCAAACCAGCAGUCACUGGGCUCCAGUGGCUCAACAUCCACAUUCUCAACAUUCCCAC